rnacentral:rRNA from 1 species
CGAGUGGCGGAUGGGUGAGUAACGCGUGGGAACCUGUCGCUGGGUGGGGGAUAACGCUGGGAAACCGGCGCUAAUACCGCAUGCGGUCACGAAAGUGAAGAAAGCAGCAAUGCGCCCGGUGAGGGGCCUGCGUCCGAUUAGCUAGUUGGUGGGGUAAGGGCCUACCAAGGCGACGAUCGGUAGCUGGUCUGAGAGGAUGGUCAGCCACACUGGGACUGAGACACGGCCCAG